CUUAGCUGGAAAGUAAUCUCCACUGAACCUGUUAUAGUUAAGAGAUCCUGUUACUCUCCAGAGGAGGACCUCCAAGCUCCAAGGGCCCUGAGUGGAAAAGCAGAGUGGAAUAUUGCACAUCAACUGGAUAAACUUGUUUCUCAGGUACUGAAGACAGCUGAGACAGCAAGCCUCAUGGACUGAUCAACUACUGGGUUCCUAGACCUUCUGUUGGUAGACAGCCAUUGCUGGACUAACUGCACAACAUCCUGAAGCAUAAUAAGGUUUUAUGAAGAAUUCUCCAGGCUUCCUUGAGACUGGUUUGUUACUGAAGAGGAGCCAUGCUAAGACUUCCCGAUGCUGCUUAUAUUCCUGGUUCCUACCGCUCCCCAACACAUUGACUCCAGCAACUCAUUAUGGAUCAACGACGUCUGAAUAGGUGACCGCCUGCCUGGCAACCUUCCCUCCCGUAGUCUUCUGACCAUCAGUUCUGGAACCCCAGCCCAUGGGAUGCUGCUGCCUGUCUUCAAGAUUGGGUCAAGCAUGCUUGGAACACCCUCACAGACAUAUUCAUAAACCUAUCCCCUGGAUGAGUCCAGCAACAGUCAAGUUGACAGCAAGGAUUAAUACAAGGAGUUCCAGGGUCUCAUUCGCUGUCUUCUCUGCCUGGGAUGUUCUCAUCCAAAACUUUACAUAUGACAAUUUGGGCAUCAGCUAGCUAGCCAGACUAGCAGAAACUAGAAGUUCUGGCUUCAGAAGGAGACCUGCCUCAAUAUGCAAUGGGAAGAGCCAUUGAAGAAUUUACUCAUUUUCCGACUCUGGCCUCUACACACACACACACACACACACACAC